GAUGAACGCUAGCUACAGGCUUAACACACGCAAGUCGAGGGGCAGCAUUUCAGUUUGCUUGCAAACUGGAGAUGGCGACCGGCGCACGGGUGAGUAACACGUAUCCAACCUGCCGAUAACUCGGGGAUAGCCUUUCGAAAGAAAGAUUAAUACCCGAUGGCAUAAUCAGACCGCAUGGUCUUGUUAUUAAAGAAUUUCGGUUAUCGAUGGGGAUGCGUUCCAUUAGGCAGUUGGUGAGGUAACGGCUCACCAAACCUUCGAUGGAUAGGGGUUCUGAGAGGAAGGUCCCCCACAUUGGAACUGAGACACGGUCCAAACUCCUACGGGAGGCAGCAGUGAGGAAUAUUGGUCAAUGGGCGCAGGCCUGAACCAGCCAAGUAGCGUGAAGGAUGACUGCCCUAUGGGUUGUAAACUUCUUUUAUAUGGGAAUAAAGUUUUCCACGUGUGGAAUUUUGUAUGUACCAUAUGAAUAAGGAUCGGCUAACUCCGUGCCAGCAGCCGCGGUAAUACGGAGGAUCCGAGCGUUAUCCGGAUUUAUUGGGUUUAAAGGGAGCGUAGGUGGACAGUUAAGUCAGUUGUGAAAGUUUGCGGCUCAACCGUAAAAUUGCAGUUGAUACUGGCUGUCUUGAGUACAGUAGAGGUGGGCGGAAUUCGUGGUGUAGCGGUGAAAUGCUUAGAUAUCACGAAGAACUCCGAUUGCGAAGGCAGCUCACUGGACUGCAACUGACACUGAUGCUCGAAAGUGUGGGUAUCAAACAGGAUUAGAUACCCUGGUAGUCCACACAGUAAACGAUGAAUACUCGCUGUUUGCGAUAUACAGUAAGCGGCCAAGCGAAAGCAUUAAGUAUUCCACCUGGGGAGUACGCCGGCAACGGUGAAACUCAAAGGAAUUGACGGGGGCCCGCACAAGCGGAGGAACAUGUGGUUUAAUUCGAUGAUACGCGAGGAACCUUACCCGGGCUUAAAUUGCAUUUGAAUAUAUUGGAAACAGUAUAGCCGUAAGGCAAAUGUGAAGGUGCUGCAUGGUUGUCGUCAGCUCGUGCCGUGAGGUGUCGGCUUAAGUGCCAUAACGAGCGCAACCCUUAUCUUUAGUUACUAACAGGUCAUGCUGAGGACUCUAGAGAGACUGCCGUCGUAAGAUGUGAGGAAGGUGGGGAUGACGUCAAAUCAGCACGGCCCUUACGUCCGGGGCUACACACGUGUUACAAUGGGGGGUACAGAAGGCAGCUACCUGGUGACAGGAUGCUAAUCCCAAAAGCCUCUCUCAGUUCGGAUCGAAGUCUGCAACCCGACUUCGUGAAGCUGGAUUCGCUAGUAAUCGCGCAUCAGCCAUGGCGCGGUGAAUACGUUCCCGGGCCU
rnacentral:rRNA from 1 species